rnacentral:rRNA from 1 species
AUUGAACGCUGGCGGCAUGCCUUACACAUGCAAGUCGAACGGUAACAGGUCUUCGGAUGCUGACGAGUGGCGAACGGGUGAGUAAUACAUCGGAACGUGCCCGAGAGUGGGGGAUAACGAAGCGAAAGCUUUGCUAAUACCGCAUACGAUCUCAGGAUGAAAGCAGGGGACCGCAAGGCCUUGCGCUCACGGAGCGGCCGAUGGCAGAUUAGGUAGUGGGUGGGAUAAAAGCUUACCAAGCCGACGAUCUGUAGCUGGUCUGAGAGGACGACCAGCCACACUGGGACUGGGACACGGCCCAGACUCCUACGGGAGGCAGCAGUGGGGAAUUUUGGACAAUGGGCGCAAGCCUGAUCCAGCCAUGCCGCGUGCAGGAUGAAGGCCUUCGGGUUGUAAACUGCUUUUGUACGGAACGAAAAGACUCCUUCUAUAAAGGGGGUCCAUGACGGUACCGUAAGAAUAAGCACCGGCUAACUACGUGCCAGCAGCCGCCGUAAAAC